CGCUUGUACUUUCAGUUUCUGACAUUUGAGCGGAGCGCGCGCCCGCCAACACUGACAGAGCUGCCCAAACAGGAAAGGCUGCGUUUAACCAGUGUGUGCUGGGAGACACGCCGGGAGCAGCACGCCAGCCUGCAUGGAGGAUGUUUUGGAAAGGCACAGCUACAGCAGCAGCCCCGAAAGGCAGGCGGCAGAUAGGAGCAGGCAGCCGUCUCCCCCUGCCACGAGCGAUAUAUUCCUAAUCACUCACACACGCCAAAGAGAGCAACAACAUCAGCAGUAUCAGCUGCCCCAGCCUGUGCGUCCCAGCGUGUUCUCGCCGGGAAACGGCUCACGUACAACAGCACAGCCUGGAACGCAGGGAUAAUCAACAGUGCCUGCGCCAAGUAAACAUAUAGAGAGACGUUCUGCCUCUGCAAACUGUGCUCCGACGGGCUACAUGCAGUAGGGAGACAAAUUGCUCAAGGGCUGGUCACACAUCGCUCGUCCGGGCUCGGGAGAAAGUCAGGCAAGUUAAGGAAAAACGCCGCUCGGUAGCUAAGCAAGGACAAGUGACAUUUUAUUUGGAAGCACAAGGACUGCGGCUGGCUCGAAUUCUGCUCGGGAUAAAUAAAAGGGGAGCUCCAAGGGCACGGCUAGAGGGGAACUGGCGGCAGCCCCAGACACCAGCGCUGCCUCCAGACCCACAGCCCCCGCUGGCCGCUGUUUAUUCCCACUCUGCGGCUGGCCCUGCGGGUCCCCACGACCACCCGAGGCCGUCCAUAAUUUAAGCGCUAUUUCCCCAUCCAGAAUCCCUGGAUUCCACCCCGCUCGCAGCAGCACCGGUUAUUAACCAGUUACACCAGCCCAGCGCGAGGAAAACACGAAAACUUUUCAUUAACCAGUCCUCCUCCUCCCCGCCCUUCGGCUCAGUCAACCAAUUAUAAAAUGAAAUUGGGGAUUUGA